UACGUAGGGUGCAAGCGUUGUCCGGAAUUAUUGGGCGUAAAGAGCUCGUAGGCGGUUUGUCGCGUCUGCUGUGAAAACUGGAGGCUCAACCUCCAGCCUGCAGUGGGUACGGGCAGACUAGAGUGCGGUAGGGGAGAUUGGAAUUCCUGGUGUAGCGGUGGAAUGCGCAGAUAUCAGGAGGAACACCGAUGGCGAAGGCAGGUCUCUGGGCCACUACUGACGCUGAGAAGCGAAAGCAUGGGGAGCGAACAGG
rnacentral:rRNA from 1 species